GCUGGGCGUGGUGGCGCACGCCUGUAGUCCCAGCUUCGUGGGAGGCAGAGACAGGAGAAUUGCUUGAACCCAGAAGGCAGAGGUUUCAGUGAGCCGAGAUCAUGCCACUGCACUCCAGCCUGGGUGACAGAGCAAGACUCUGUCUCAA
rnacentral:SRP_RNA from 2 species